GAUGAAGAACGUAGCGAAAUGCGAUAACUAAUGUGAAUUGCAGAAUUCCGUGAAUCAUCGAGUCUUUGAACGCACAUUGCGCCCCCUGGUAUUCCGGGGGGCAUGCCUGUCCGAGCGUCAUUGCUGCCCAUCAAGCACGGCUUGUGUGUUGGGUCCUCGUCCCCCCCGGGGGGCGUGCCCGAAAGGCAGCGGCGGCACCGCGUCCGGUCCUCGAGCGUAUGGGGCUUUGUCACCCGCUCUGCAGGCCCGGCCGGCGCUGGCCGACGCGAAAGCAACCAUUUUUUCUCCAGGUUGACCUCGGAUCAGGUAGGGAUACCCGCUGAACUUAAGCAUAUCAAUAAGCGGAGGA
rnacentral:misc_RNA from 1 species